rnacentral:rRNA from 1 species
CCUACGGGUGGCAGCAGUGGGGAAUAUUGCACAAUGGGGGAAACCCUGAUGCAGCGACGCCGCGUGAGUGAAGAAGUAUUUCGGUAUGUAAAGCUCUAUCAGCAGGGAAGAAAAUGACGGUACCUGAUUAAGAAGCCCCGGCUAACUACGUGCCAGCAGCCGCGGUAAUACGUAGGGGGCAAGCGUUAUCCGGAUGUACUGGGUGUAAAGGGAGCGUAGACGGCAGCACAAGUCUGGAGUGAAAUGCCGGGGCUUAACCCCGGAACUGCGUUGGAAACUGUGCAGCUGGCGGGCAGGAGGGGGGGGGGGGGGGGGGGGGGGAGCGGUGAAAUGCGUAGAUAUUAGGAGGAACACCGGUGGCGAAGGCGGCUUACUGGACUGUAACUGACGUUGAGGCUCGAAAGCGUGGGGAGCAAACAGGAUUAGAUACCCCAGUAGUC